rnacentral:rRNA from 1 species
CCUACGGGUGGCAGCAGUGGGGAAUAUUGCACAAUGGGGGAAACCCUGAUGCAGCAACGCCGCGUGAGUGAGGAAGUAAUUCGGUAUGGAAAGCCCUAUCAGCAAGGAAUCGAAAAGAAGGUACCUGAAAAAGAAGCCCCGGCUAACUACGUGCCAGCAGCCGCGGUAAUACGUAGGGGGCAAGCGUUAUCCGGGUUUACUGGGUGUAAAGGGAGCGUAGACGGAAAGGUAAGUCAGACGUGAAAACCCAAGGCUAAACCAUGGGACUGCUUUUGAAACUGUCAAACUAGAGUACGGGAGAGGUAAGAGGAAUUCCUAGUGUAGCGGUGAAAUGCGUAGAUAUCAAGAGGAACACCAGUGGCGAAGGCGUCUUACUGGACCGAAACUGACGUUGAGGCUCGAAAGCGUGGGGAGCAAACAGGAUUAGAUACCCGUGUAGUC